rnacentral:snRNA from 1 species
AAAAAGGGCUUCUGUCGUGAGUGGCACACAUAGGGUGCCUCGUUUGCUCUUCAUGCGGAAUCGACAUCAAGAGAUUUCGGAAGCAUAGUUUUUGCUGCUUGGGCAGCUGGUGAUCAUUGGUCCCAGUGCCCUU